rfam:Homo sapiens chromosome 14, GRCh38 reference primary assembly.
GCUGGGUUUGGUGGCGUGUGCCUGUAGUCCCAGCUACUCGGGAGGCUGAGGCAGGAGAAUCACUUGAACCCAGGAGCUGGAGGUUGCAGUGAGUCGAGACUGCACCACUGCACUCCAGCCUGGGUGAUAGAAUGAGACCCUGUUUCAA